rnacentral:rRNA from 1 species
CCUACGGGUGGCAGCAGUGAGGAAUAUUGGUCAAUGGACGAGAGUCUGAACCAGCCAAGUAGCGUGAAGGAUGACUGCCCUAUGGGUUGUAAACCUCUUUUAUAAAGGAAUAAAACGAGGCACGUGUGCCUUUUUGCAUGUACUUUAUGAAUAAGGAUCGGCUAACUCCGUGCCAGCAGCCGCGGUAAUACGGAGGAUCCGAGCGUUAUCCGGAUUUAUUGGGUUUAAAGGGAGCGUAGAUGGGUUGUUAAGUCAGUUGUGAAAGUUUGCGGCUCAACCGUAAAAUUGCAAUUGAUACUGGCAGUCGUGAGUACAGUUGAGGUAGGCGGAAUUCGUGGUGUAGCGGUGAAAUGCUUAGAUAUCACGAAGAACCCCGAUUGCGAAGGCAGCUUACUAAACUGUGACUGACAUUGAUGCUCGAAAGUGUGGGUAUCAAACAGGAUUAGAUACCCCAGUAGUC